rnacentral:lncRNA from 1 species
ACUUACAUGAGAAAUGGACCUGGGCCACAAGGUCGAACAUUGUAUGACCGAGUUAUCAGGGCCUGUAACCACCAACUUGGAGUUGGGCCCCCGGACAGUGACCAUAUUGCUGGACUCAUAAAGCUGGUGGAGCUUGCACUCAGGGGGUAUGACAUCUCAGGGGAGCUUGGUGUGCAAAGCACCCCUUUGUAUAUGGAGAAAAUCACCUUUCAUGUACUCAAGAAACUGGGCUCCUUGGGAGUGUACCAUCCAUGUAGCUACUUGGGAAGCCUACUCUACCAGAGGUUGGCUCCAGCUCCACAGGUAAAGGAUGGAUGAUAGAGUACUAGUACAGUACUUCCUAUUAUAGUAACUGUAGUCAGCUGUUUUUACAUCAUCUCUGAUUGUGUCUUCUCAAUCUCUUGUUGAAUGUGUCUUCCUUCCUCUUGUGUGCCCCAUAGACAGAAGACUACUGUGUGCUUGUACGCAGCUGCUUUGCUGUACUGUGGAAUGGACUGUCUGCAGCACAAGACGGCGCCUGCCUAAACCCCAGGGACAAAUUCUGCUGCCAGUUGCAAGCCCUGAGCUUCCUGCUGCUGCUGGACAGGGAGAGAACCUCACCCCCCUCCUGCUCCAAAACCCCCAUGUACGUGGAAGACGCCCUGACUGAGUUUGAGAAGGGCUGUGGGACCCUGACUAAGGAGGAUGCCUCCUUGAUCUUGGAGGAGACCCAUCGUCAUCUCCUGUCCCCCUGGGCUGGGGGAUGGGGCGGGGAUGGGCAGCCUUCGGGGAGGCCCUGCCUCUCUACACUCUGUGAGGUGGUGCUGAUCACCUCAAAGCUUCUGUCUAAGGCAGGUUUCUGGAGCCUGGCUGAAGGGCUGGUGGGUGGAGCCCUGGGAAAGGUCAGGAACUCUACAGACGGCCUCAGCCCAGCUCUGGUGCUUGGCAGGCUGGCAGUAGACAUCCACCGUUCCAUGAGCUCUGGAGUGGAGAGUGGACAGGCUUUUACAGAGUGUGCCCGGACCCUCCGGUCUCUCCCUAACACCCUUGGGGACCGGCAGGCCCAUGUGAUCCUGGAGGGGUGCAGUCUGGUGGUAUGGGCAGUGGAGGCAGGGCAGAGCAAGGGGCUAAGUGGAGCUGUGCUCCUGGCCUGGUUCUCAUUCCUGGAAGAGCAUCAGGAAUUCAUGCAGAAGAAAUUACAGAAGGACUUGGGAUCACAGUCUGAGGAGAGCCGACUUCAGCAGUCCCUAUGCUUCAGCAUGUACCAAGGCUUUGUGUUUUCUUAUGAGAGCAUGCUGGCCUCACAGGUAAGGAGGGUUUCACCCCAAACUAGUUUUAUCCUUAAGUUACAGAGGAGUACUGUUUCAGUAGCUGCU